UACGUAGGGGGCAAGCGUUGUCCGGAUUUAUUGGGCGUAAAGAGCGUGUAGGCGGCCAGGUAGGUCUGCUGUGAAAACUCGAGGCUCAACCUCGAGAUGUCGGCGGAAACCAUCUGGCUAGAGUCCGAAAGAGGAGAAUGGAAUUCCCGGUGUAGCGGUGAAAUGCGCAGAUAUCGGGAAGAACACCCGUGGCGAAGGCGGUUCUCUGGGACGGUACUGACGCUGAGACGCGAAAGCGUGGGGAGCGAACAGG
rnacentral:rRNA from 1 species